GACUGAGGAAGAAGGAACUAAAAGUCAACGAACUCAUGGUCAUGAAGCUACCUUGUGGGUGAGGAACUGUCCCUGGUUAUGGAGUACAUGGAUGGAGGCACUCUGAGCAAUGUCAUAAGCCAGACCUACCUGUCGGAAGAUGAGAUGGCAGCCAUCAGUCGGGAGUGCCUGCAAGGACUGGAUUUUCUUCAUUCAAACCAUGUCAUCCACCAAGAUGUGAAGAGCAGCAACAUCCUUCUCAGAACUGACGGUUCUGUCAAGCUGG